CCUUGAUCUCAGUGUAGUGGGUGUUCAUUGUCCUGUUCUUGGAAACUUCCCACAUUGUCAAAAUUUUUAAAAUAGCAACUUAAGGGAAAAUACCUGCAUCAGAAUCGCCUGAGGUGCUUGAUGAAAAUGCAGGAUCCCAAGCCCCAGCUCAGAGAGGAGAAGUGGCAUUUCCAGGAGUUGUGAAGCUGGGAAUAUUAUGGUAUAACAAGCUCUCCAGAUGUUUCUUGUGAACACUAAAGUUUGACCAUCUCAUAGCAUGUAGUGAGCCUGUUCUUCCUUUCCCUCUUUCCCUUCAACAGAGAACACAUCUGAACAAAACUGAAUUCUUUUUUUAAACCUUAAUGAUUUCAUCUACACGGUUUUCCUUAGAACUUUUUCUGACUAGGGCCAAUUUGAUAUUGGGCAAAGUAUGUGACUGUUAGUGAGACAAGGGUUUGGAGCCCACAAUUAAGUCCUCCCACCAUGAUGCCCGAAAUACCACUACAAUGAUUCCUUUGGCUACAGUUAUUCCUACUCUGAAAUCCCAGCCAUUCUUUAUUUUCUACAAGUUCGUUUUAUUAUUUUUAAGGACUUUAAAGGAAAAUAUACAUUUGGCCACAAUUAGGCUGCAGAGACUAACAAAAACAUAGGUUUCUUUGCUUUUUGAUGAAACUGUAUUCACCCUGUUUACCAAUUUUACAUUUAUUGAAGCUCUGAUUGGUAAUUUCAGAUGUAUUUUUUGUGAGGUAGAAUGAGUCAUUUCAUACAGGCAGUUUGCUUUGUAAGCAAAAACCUUUUAAUGCACGAACUUCAUGGAGGGCUGCAGGGAGUGGCUAAGUAUCGUUCGUGGAUAAUGAGAUUGACCCUUGCCAGAGAAGAGGGUGGGUGUGGGAGGUUCACCUUCUCCCAUCAGCCCAUAUUGAUUGUCAACAUCCAGUUCCUGACGGAGGAGGGCCUGGGUCAGGAGGUGUGAAAUGCCCAAGAAGCCAGUGCUGUGGCGAGGGGAAAAAUGAAGUCUUGUGGAUUUUGCCUCCAAUAACUCAAACUGGUGUAUGUAUCUCCAUCAGACAAUGGUAGGUAUUUUUCCUUUGUAGGUAAAACUGGGUCUGCUUUAAUAUCUAUCAAUUAUUUUUCUUAAUCCUAGGGAAGGGAAAAGAUGCCAUACCAUUUUCUGAAACUCUAAAGAUAAAAAUCAUUCCUAGAAUUGUAGUGCCAGAGGAUCUCAGAAAACAUCUAGUUCUAGAGUGUCAUGUUUACAGAUUGAACGACUAGUUAAUGCAAGUCACAUGUGACAAGCCAUGGUCGAGUGUGUUAUUCUUUGAUGUGGCGGGAGAAAACAAACACAGGAUAAGCCCCCAAACUAGAGUUUUUAAUAAGUAGAAAAUUGUGCUUAGUAGACAUGGCUGUUAAAGCCAGUCAGGUGUUCUUUACUGGAUAUUACACAUUCCCAAGAACAAAUCCUCUCCCCAUCUCUAUAUUCUGCCUUCCGUCAGUCACACCUAGCUCUUGUCAUUUAAUUUUGCUUUGCCUUGUUUUUGUCCCUUGUUGGGUCAAGGUUAGUUUGUUCUGCAGAAAUAACAAAUGCCUGGAUUUCCCACUCUUCAGAGCUCUGGGGUGAGUUAAAUCCACAGAUGUUUAUGAGUGGUGACAAUCCCUGUUGGCGGAUGUUGUAGCAAUACUUUGAGAACUGGCUAUACUGAAUGAUGCCAGCUGAAGGGGAAUCCUAGGAAUUUGCUUUCAUUUGGAUCAGACAUUUGAACCAGUUGAAGAAUGGCUCCCACUUUUUUUUUUUUUUUUUUUUAACUCUUAUAAGCCUUUAUGAGGCCCAAUUUUGCUUGUGCAAUCUGAGAACAUUUUUUGCUUUCAUCCAAUCUGGCUGGGCAUAGGGGAGUGGAAGACAGUUGUUCAAAAGGAAGCUUUUGUACAUACUGACUCUCAGAUCUGUUUCAUAAGAAAAUUUCCAUAGGAAUUCUAGGAAGAGAAACAAAUGGUUUAGGCAGAGAGCAUUUGGUCUAUUAAACAUUCCGGUGGCUGGUUCUGUGGCCAGCAGGGCAGCCAAGCCUAAGGAAUUUCAAGGGACACAGCCCUUUUUUGAAUUGGAGCCCUAUGUCUGGCCACAAUGAUAAUUGUUUCACAUCAGCAACUUAGUAUAUUGUGCUAUAGGGUUGCAGGGGGGUGGGUAAGGGGGGCUUCAAUGGCUUCUUUUGUUAGAAAUAGGCUAAUUUCUAGUACCCAUUCCAAAAGGUUACAAUUAGAAAGGAUGGUGCAACAGAGCUUGAGAAAGUAAACAUGGGGGCACCCAUCUCCUUUUCAUUAUAAAUUGCUUCCCUUUCCCUGAUUCUGUAGUUGUCAGAUGCUAAAUACUUGUCAUCUUGGGAUUCUCUUUUGCUGCACAAGAACACAGCCUAACCUAACUGUGGGCUGCGGAUAUCAGAAUGCUGUAGUCUAAACAGCUGGCAUGGGAAACAGGCAUGGAAGUGGAGGGUGGUAGGGAUUUGAACAAAGCCCAAACUUGCCUUGGGUUAAUUUGAUUUACAGGAAUCAACAGGACCUGGAAAAACUCCAAGCCACGAAGCCUUUGUUUGGAAAGUUUUGCAGGAUAAAGGCUAGCCAGAUCUAAAUAAAGCUUUUCCAUGAGGGUUUCA
rnacentral:lncRNA from 1 species